CACGAUCUUUAGGAAACGGCUGGUGGGCUCGGCCACAGAAUUAUUGCUGCGCCAGAGGCCUAAAAGCCUAGAACCUUCUCAGAGAUACAAUCCCCAAGCCCUGGAACAGAACAGUACCUGGCGCAUACUGUUUUGGCUUCAGUAUGGAGAACAGAUUGGAAAGAGCACCUUGCCCAGCCUCUGUUUCCCUACAUAGAGGUAGGGAGGAAGUAUGUGUUUGUGAAGGGGUGAGUCUGGUUUUCCUGCCUUCCUUCUAGAAUCACCUACUUUAAAGAAACUGAAGAACCAAGGUCCUUCUUGCUCCUCCCUACCCACGUUAAACAGAAAAUGACACCCAGGGCAGGGAAGGGGCUUGCCUGAAGUUCACUCAGCUGGCAAAUUGGCAGCUGACUGGCUCUGAGCAGAAGCCUUUUAGCGGGAGGAAGCACAGCUACACCUAUAGCUGGAGGG